rnacentral:rRNA from 1 species
CCCUUAGAUGUUCUGGGCUGCACGCGCGCUACACUGAAGCUAUCAACACGUUUUUCCUCCCUGAGAAGGGCGGGUAACCUUUUGAAUCAGCUUCGUGGUAGGGAUCGGGGCUUGCAAUUGUUCCCCGUGAACCAGGAAUUCCUAGUAGACGCGAGUCAUAAGCUCGCAUCGAUUAAGUCCCUGCCCUUUGUACACACCGCCCGUCGCUACUACCGAUUGAACGUUUUAGUGAGGCAUUUGGACCGACGCAUCUCAGUUUAACCGCUGGUUUGUGUUGGAAAGACUUCCAAACUUGAGCGUUUAGAGGAAGUAAAAGUCGUAACA